UCNGGAAAGUCUGGAGUAAAAGGNUAUGGCUCAACCAUAGUGUGCUCUGGAAACUNUCUGACUUGAGUGCAGAAGGGGAGAGUGGAAUNCCAUGUGUAGCGGUGAAAUGCGUAGAUAUAUGGAGGAACACCAGUGGCGAAAGCGGCUCUCUGGUCUGUCACUGACGCUGAGGCUCGAAAGCGUGGGUAGCGAACAGGAUUAGAUACCCUGGUAGUCCACGCCGUAAACGAUGAGUGCUAGGUGUUAGGCCCUUUCCGGGGCUUAGUGCCGGAGCUAACGCAAUAAGCACUCCGCCUGGGGAGUACGACCGCAAGGUUGAAACUCAAAGGAAUUGACGGGGGCCCGCACAAGCGGUGGAGCAUGUGGUUUAAUUCGAAGCAACGCGAAGAACCUUACCAGGUCUUGACAUCCCGAUGCUAUUCUUAGAGAUAGGAAGUUACUUCGGUACAUCGGAGACAGGUGGUGCAUGGUUGUCGUCAGCUCGUGUCGUGAGAUGUUGGGUUAAGUCCCGCAACGAGCGCAACCCUUAUUGUUAGUUGCCAUCAUUAAGUUGGGCACUCUAGCGAGACUGCCGGUAAUAAACCGGAGGAAGGUGGGGAUGACGUCAAAUCAUCAUGCCCCUUAUGACCUGGGCUACACACGUGCUACAAUGGUCGGUACAACGAGUUGCGAGCCGGUGACGGCAAGCUAAUCUCUGAAAGCCGAUCUCAGUUCGGAUUGGAGGCUGCAACUCGCCUCCAUGAAGUCGGAAUCGCUAGUAAUCGCGGAUCAGCACGCCGCGGUGAAUACGUUCCCGGGCCUUGUACACACCGCCCGUCACACCACGAGAGUUUGUAACACCCGAAGUCGGUGAGGUAACCUUUUAGGGGCCA
rnacentral:rRNA from 1 species